AUGGGCAGCGGUGUGGUGAUUGGAGGUGAGAGGGCAGCAGACCCAAAUUUGACCUACUUUACUAUCCUGCUCCAGACGCACUUGUCCAGUGUGGCAACAGCCGCUACGUUGCUAUCAACUCUAGAAAGUAGGACAGGAGACUUAGUUGACUCCGGGGUUCGUAUAGGCAGGGAGCACAGGCGUAAGGCUGAGAUCGGCUUCCCUAGAGCCUUUCAAACUGGAUGGACCUGCACUUGUUGCUUAAAUGUCUUGAGGCCUGUGUUUCCACAUCUGGGAAAUGGGGAAAUUGUGGUGUUUGCUGUGAAGCUUCCUCAUUGGCUGAUGAACUCAUCUGGUGUUCCUAAGACCAACACCUUCAGUCCCAUUUCACAAAGUCCAAAUCACAAAGGAGGAAACUAUUUAUUUGAUGAAUGCUGUAUUGAAGAGACUGGGAUCACUGUCUGGAACCACAGGCCGCCCUCUGAAGGCUGGAGAGGUGGUGACAGCUGAACAAAUGAUGGCGCUACGAGUCCAUGGGUUAGGUUACCUGGGCAUGGGAAUCCCCAUAUAGCCAAUGCCUUCUCGGGUAUUAAGUGUCAGAUAAACACAGCUCCUCAACUGCUA